rnacentral:lncRNA from 1 species
UGGAAGGGGCAUGAGGAGAGAUUGGUAAUUCCUUCAUCUCUGUAAUGUGAAAAUGAUGGCUCUAUUUGGAAAAUUCUAUCUAGCAGUUCUUUUCGGUGUUUAGGAAUCCUUACCAGAGAUCCAGAAAGAACAUCGCAAUCUGCUUCAAGAAUUAAAAGUUAUUCAAGAAAAUGAACAUGCUCUUCAAAAAGAUGCACUUAGUAUUAAGUUGAAACUUGAACAAAUAGAUGGUCACAUUGCUGAACAUAAUUCUAAAAUAAAAUAUUGGCACAAAGAGAUUUCAAAAAUAUCACUGCAUCCUAUAGAAGAUAAUCCUAUUGAAGAGAUUUCGGUUCUAAGCCCAGAGGAUCUUGAAGCGAUCAAGAAUCCAGAUUCUAUAACAAAUCAAAUUGCACUUUUGGAAGCCCGGUGUCAUGAAAUGAAACCAAACCUCGGUGCCAUCGCAGAGUAUAAAAAGAAGGAAGAAUUGUAUUUGCAACGGGUAGCAGAAUUGGACAAAAUUACUUAUGAAAGAGACAGUUUUAGACAGGCAUAUGAAGAUCUUCGGAAACAAAGGCUUAAUGAAUUUAUGGCAGGUUUUUAUAUAAUAACAAAUAAAUUAAAGGAAAAUUACCAAAUGCU